rnacentral:rRNA from 1 species
AGUGCGCGCUUGUAGCAAUACAAGUGGCGCACGGCGCACGGGUGCGUAACACGUGGGUAACCUGCCCUUUGGUGGGGAAUAACCUCGCGAAAGCGAGGCUAAUUCCGCAUAAGAUCCGCAAGGAUGAAAGCCGCAAGGCGCCGAAGGAGGGGCCCGCGCACGAUUAGUUAGUUGGUAGGGUAACGGCCUACCAAGACUAUGAUCGUUAGCUGGUCUGAGAGGAUGGCCAGCCACACUGGAACUGAGACACGGUCCAGACUCCUACGGGAGGCAGCAGUGGGGAAUCUUGCGCAAUGGGCGAAAGCCUGACGCAGCGACGCCGCGUGGGGGAUGAAGCUUCUCGGAGUGUAAACCCCUUUCGACUGGGACGAAUACCUCGCAAGAGGGGUGACGGUUCCAGUAGAACAAGCCCCGGCUAACUACGUGCCACCAGCCGCGGUAACACGUUAGGGGCC